rnacentral:rRNA from 1 species
UACUAUUAUUUACAAUGAACCCUUUAUUUUUACUGAAUAUUUCUAUAAAGUUAUAGAACCUUUUAUGUUGAAACUAGUAACAAGAAGUUAAACUUCUCCUCAAUAUAAGUAUAAGUCGACUAGGAUAAACCAUCGACAAUUAACGCUUAAAUUAAAUGUAUUAACUCCACAAGAAAAACUUACAUUACCCCACGUUAAUCUUACACCAGAACAUUUAAGGAAAGAUUUAAAAAAAAGGAAGGAACUCGGCAAACAUUAACCCCGCCUGUUUACCAAAAACAUCGCCUUCUGAUAUAUUAUAGAAGGUCCAGCCUGCCCAGUGAAUUAAUUUAACGGCCGCGGUAUCCUAACCGUGCGAAGGUAGCGUAAUCACUUGUUCUUUAAAUGAGGACUAGUAUGAAUGGCACCACGAAGGUUAUACUGUCUCCCUUUUUUGAUCAGUUAAACUAAUCUUCACGUGAAGAAGCGUGAAUAAACAUAUAAGACGAGAAGACCCUAUGGAGCUUAAAAUUACACAACAAUUGUUAAAAAAAUCCUAAAUUUUAUAAAUAAUUUUUUACUAAACACCAUGAUUGCUAAUUUUUGGUUGGGGUGACCGCGGAGUAAAAAUUAACCUCCACAAUGAAAGAAAUCAAUAUUCUAAACUAAGAGCUACAACUCAAAGUAUUAAUAUUUUAACAUUCUUUGAUCCAAUAUUUGAUCAACGAACAAAGUUACCCUAGGGAUAACAGCGCAAUCUACUUUGAGAGCUCCUAUCGACAAGUAGGUUUACGACCUCGAUGUUGGAUCAGGGUAUCCUAGUGGUGCAGCCGCUACUAAUGGUUCG